CAGCAGCCGCGGGAAUACGUAGGGUCCGAGCGUUGUCCGGAAUUAUUGGGCGUAAAGGGCUCGUAGGCGGUUUGUCGCGUCGGGAGUGAGAACCAGCAGCUUAACUGCUGGCCUGCUUUCGAUACGGGCAGACUUGAGGCAUUCAGGGGAGAACGGAAUUCCUGGUGUAGCGGUGAAAUGCGCAGAUAUCAGGAGGAACACCGGUGGCGAAGGCGGUUCUCCGGGAAUGUUCUGACGCUGAGGAGCGAAAGUGUGGGGAGCGAACAGGAUUAGAUACCCCAGUAGUCCCUGUCUCUUAUAC
rnacentral:rRNA from 1 species